GGCUGGCCAGACAUCCCCUACAUGAGUAGCAGCAGCCAGCAGGCAGAGGCCGGGAUACGUGCAUCCGAAACUGACAGAUCUCUGAUGUAGCAUGCCACAACUUACCAACAGUUCAAUAGCCUGCUAUCCGUGAUUCGGUGGCCGAUUAAAAAAGCCUUUCCCAAUCCCAUUGACGCCUGGUACAAGCUGUUGCUGAAUUUGCUGCUCAGAUCUCAAAAAACUGUUCAGAUUAUAACGUCACAGCACUGCUUCGUAGAACGAGAAUAUUUAUGUACGCUUUCAACUGGCAGAGCUUCGCUCAGCAAGAAUCCAUCUUGCCAAAAGAAUAACAGUCACCGUGCACUCAGAAAGAUGAACCAUGUACAGAACAAGUGCACUGUUAUGUAGACCCCAUCGGACAAUAAAGCUGGAAAAUACGUAUUCGGGUCACGCAGCAUGAAGUAUCUUUCUAUUUUUUAUCCUAUAAUAAUAGCAGCACGAAUGGAUGCCUCUUGGAACCUGUGAUGCCAGACCGAGCGGGAGAAAAGAAUGGAACAAGAUACCUGACGCUGAUGCAAGGCCAAUCGCUCUUCUGGUUCAUGUGCUCUUUAAUUGACGAUACAGAUUCCGGCCAUUUCAAUCGCUAUACAUGGUCACUUCAUCUUGCUUGAACGAUGCUGCAGAACAUAUGAACAGAGAAGUUUUAAGUGCUAGGAAAUACUCUUAAGAACGAUGACGCAGAGCUAGUAAUGGGGUUACAUACGAACCGAAAUCAGAAGAGAUGCAUUUGUCGUCCAUUUCUAAUCAAAGAACCCAGCGAGAUAGAUAUCAUAUAUAAGGAACCUCGAAACCCAC
rnacentral:lncRNA from 1 species